GGGCGAGUGGCGGAACGGCAGACGCGCACGGUUCAGGUCCGUGUGCCCGAAAGGGUGUGAGGGUUCAAAUCCCUCCUCGCCCA
rnacentral:tRNA from 2 species